rnacentral:lncRNA from 1 species
AAAAAAAAAAAAAAAAAAAAAAAAAAAAAAAGUAAAUGUAGUAGGGGCGCCUGGGUGGCUUAGUAGGUUAAGCGUCUGAUUUGGGUUCAGGUCAUGAUCUCACAGUUCAUGAGUUCAAGCCCCACAUCAGGCUCGGUGCUGACAGCUCGAAGCUUGGAGUCUGUUUUGGAUUCUGUGUCUCCCCUUUUUCUCUGCCCCUUCCUCGCUCGUGCUCUCUCUCUCUCUCAAAAAUAAAUAAACUUUAAAAAAAUUAAAUAUAUUAUACUUCAUCUAAAAUGAUUGACUCACUUUGGUUUAUAUGACUUAGUUUUUGUUUUUGUUUUUUUUCAUUUAAAAAUAAUAAUCAGUCUGGAUGUCUUCCAUCAUCCUGCUCUCUAAAUAUAACAUAAAAAAUAACAAAAACCAAAAAAACCCAGAAACUGUGGUUCAGCAAAAAAUCAACAAUCUGUGAUAUCUCUAUUUGGAAUUUCUUUUUCCUAAGCUACUGCUCUUUAUUCUAAAAAGACAGCAAACAACUUAAGUUACAGUUAAACUUAUUUUACUUAAUAAAGCAAAACCUCUUGUUUUAAUGGCUAUGAAACAAAAAUCUUAAUUUUUCCCAAAGUAAAAAAAACAUUGAUAUAUCUUAUGCUAGUAGUCAUAGAUAGUAUUUAUUGAAAUAGCUUAUCCUAGCUUCUGCAAUGCCUACCUGCGUUACACUUUGACAUGCUAGAAAUGAGGUAACUCAUUAUUUACUAGAUUACACAUUACAAGGAUGUAGGAUGUCGCUGAUCCUUAAAUUCCCAAAUACUUAGGGGAGCCUGGGUGGCUCAGUUGGUUAAGUGAAGACUCUUGAUUUAGGCUCAGGUCAUGAUCUCGCGAUUCAGGAGAUUGAGCCCCAUGUGGGAUUCUGUGCUGACAGCACACAGCCUGCUUGGGAUUCUCUCUCUGCCCCUCCCCUGCUCACUCGCUACUACACACGCUCUCUGUCUCAAAAUAAAUAAAUAAACUUAAAAAAAAAAUUAAAAAAUAAUAAAUUCCCAAAUACUCAGAAUACUGCCUUUAAUAUAAUAUGUAUUUAAUAAAUAUUGCUUAAAAUUUGUGAACUUAAUGAUACUGUAUCAAACUGCACAUUUGUUAAGGAAAUUAAUUAGAAUGCAUAGGGAAUUUUGAUACAUUUAUAUUUUCUGUUUGGAGUUAAGAAGAAAACUGUGUUUUAUACUUGUUUCACUACUGGUGAAAUUUUUUUCUUAAAUAUAUUCCAAUUUUCUGACAUAAUGUGCAUGAUACAAAAGUACUUGCUUGCUAAAUUAGAGUCAGAACAGUGCCCUGUUCAGAACAUUAGCCAUUCCCUUUACAUUCAUUUCAGGUGGUAUUCUUUUUUUUUUUUUUUUUUUUCAACGUUUAUUUAUUUUUGGGACAGAGAGAGACAGAGCAUGAACAGGGGAGGGGCAGAGAGAGAGGGAGACACAGAAUCGGAAACAGGCUCCAGGCUCUGAGCCAUCAGCCCAGAGCCCGACGCGGGGCUCGAACUCCCGGACCGCGAGAUCGUGACCUGGCUGAAGUCGGACGCUUAACCGGCUGCGCCACCCAGGCGCCCCAAUCAGGUGGUAUUCUUUUAACGUGUUUGGGCUGAAUGUGCUCUGACCUCAGUGCCAAGUACUGAAAGCUUGUUUUUAUUUUAAAAAAUGUAUUAACUUUAUGACAUUUGUUUCAAAAAGUUCUUCACACCACAGAAUUAGCACACACAAAAAAGAAGUUUCUAUUUGUAUAUCAUUUGCCUUUUUUCCUUUUCUAUUUUUCUAUCAUUCACCCAAGAAAGAAUACAAACAGAAAUUUUAGUAUGAGUCGUUUUAGUAUCCUCCUUCCUUCUGUUUUCCUCUUAUUCACAGUGUGAGAGUGGGCAUUAUUACCCACAAGAUACAUGUUUACUGAGGCAUCUUGGAGUAUUUUUCCUACAGCCCAAUUUACAUAAAUCUCCCUCUGCUGGCCGAAUUUUUAUCUUCUGGCAUCCUAUUUAAAUACAAAGGUAAUGCUUUAUAGUAUAAACAAAAGCUCCUCUAUAAAGAAUUAUAAACUAUAUAAACCUGACAAGUCACUUAAAAAUCUUUUCUACAUCAUUAAGGAUUGUGUUUGCUGAUUUCAGAGAGAAGUAAAGUACUGAGUUAAACAAAGAACUUUUGAAAUUUAGUAUCUUUUCCCCCCUGAGCAAGAUUCUUAAUUCUACUAAAACCAUUUCUCAUUAAGUUCUUUUUCUUAAUUAAAAAAAAUUUUUUUUUAAGUAAACUCUACCUCCAACAUGGGGCCGAACUCAUGACCCCAAGAUCAGAGUUGCAUGCUCUAUGAGCUGGCCAGGGACUACACUGCUACCCAUGAGCCCACACUGCUUUCCUCCCCACCUUUUUUUUUUUUUUUCCAGAUGGCAGUUGUUUUACUUACAUAUCUAAGAAAUUCCGUUUUGAUUUUUAUAAUAAAGCGCUUUACAAUAUGGACUUUGAGUACAUUGCAUUAAUAAGUUCUAAACAUUUUCUAGUAAGAAAAAUUGGUAGUUAUUAAAACCUCCUAAUCUACUUUAAUUGCUACCUCUCAUUAUGUAUCACUUUGUGAUUUGCAAAGCUUUUACUAUACACAUUCAUUUAUUUAACAUUCUACAGUCUUAAGAAGUGAGUAUAAUUAUGCCCAUUUUACAGCUGAGUGAGAGGAGCCUCAGAGAUACUUACAUAAUCUUCCCAAUGCCAUUAAGGGGUAAACCAAGGACAAGCCUAAGAACUCUGAACUUUAAUCCCAAAAUACAGGUAUUUUCUUCCAUCUAACUGUAUCACUGAUUUUAUUUUUUAAUCAAUAUAUUUAUAUAGAAGGAAAGGUAAUUGAUUUACAAACCUUUUUAGCAUUUAAUUAGUCUCUUGGUAUUUACUUUAGCUAGAGAAUUCCCAAAUUUCCAUUCAUAUUUCCAAAUCGUCUUUCAUAUGGAUUUAGCCACACUAAAUACAUUGUGGGAGGGGAGAAUCAGGGCACAAGAAAGCAUGUGUAUCUGUGACUCAGUGUACUUUUCUUCACUUUGCAUUUUGUAAAUAUUGUUGUUACAGCUCCUAACGGGCUCUCAGAAGUCGUUAUGACUGACAGCCCUGAGUGCUGUGUCUUUCAAAACAAAUAUGCUUUAUUGAUGGACAGCACAUGCAACUCCAUCAAAUUAUUCUGAAAGACAGGGUGAAACAAACAACAUGAUUUCCAACUAACUUCAGCAUUCUGCACUGAAUACAAUAGUCAGGUUACAGUUUCACAGGUAUCAUGAAAGCUUGUCAUUUCCAUAUGCAACACAUGUAACAGAAGGGUACUACAAAUCUGCCAUAUAAUCCCAGAGCAGCACACAACUUCCCAUGUUUGCCACACAGAUUUUUUUUUUUUAAUUUUUUUUUCCUCCGUUUUUAUUUAUUCUUGGGACAGAGAGAGACAGAGCAUGAACGGGGGAGGGGCAGAGAGAGAGGGAGACACAGAAUCGGAAACAGGCUCCAGGCUCCGAGCCAUCAGCCCAGAGCCUGACGCGGGGCUCGAACUCACGGACCGCGAGAUCGUGACCUGGCUGAAGUCGGACGCUUAACCGACUGCGCCACCCAGGCGCCCCUGCCACACAGAUUUUUAAGCACAAGCAGUAAUUCAGAACAUAUUUAGAACAAAAAAAAAAAAGUCCUUAUGCAUAUGCCCAAGUAUUUACUGGUUUUUUAAAAAUAUGCAAUAAUAUAUAUUUUAAAAAUAUGUAAUAAUAUAUGUAAUAAUAGACUUUGAGAAAAAAGUUUGGGCAAGAAUUUGAAAAAGAACCAACUGGAAUAAAUAAAAUAUGCUUUAUCACCCUGAUUUUAGGAAAAAGGUAAAUAAAACCUGUCACUGUCUGGUGCAUAUUAAAAAUCACAAUUGAACAGCAAACGUCAGACACAUUAUCUAUAUCCCAUUAUAGCAUUUCUCAAACUGGAAGGCAAGGCUCAUUGAAAAAAUUCUGCUUGCUGAGCUCUCCCAGCAAGAACUACCAAAUCAGUUGGGAUUUGAGAACUACCAAAUCAGUACUUGAGAGGUGGGCAGAUUCCUACAACUCUUAUAUAGCUGCCAGAAGGAGACUUCCUGAUCCUAAGUCAAUCUUUUAAGGACCUAUUAAUGGACUAGUAUUAAGAGAAAUGACACUGAUUAUGAAAGAUGAGUUGGGCCAAUAAAGGACUUAUUGGCAAGGUAGAGUCUAUAUAAUAAUGAAACAAUUUGGGAGUUAGACAGCAUGUAAUAGAGUGCAACAAAUGCAGUCCAAACCAUCAGGGAAUAGACAGUAUAUAAUAAUAAUAAGACAUUCUUAACACUCAGAUUCUUGGCAAUUACAAAAGCCAUUUAAGAAUUGAGGCAAUUCUCUUAACUCACUUUGAUGACCCCAAUUUGUCCCACUGUUAACUUUAAACUAAUGGCUGAACUCAUUCCCAUCAACAAGGACACAGCCAGGGGUGAACUCCAGGUUUGGGGAGCUUCCUGUCACUGCACCUUUGGUCAACUCUGACCUGGCUUCUCUUACUCUGGGCAUCACAAAAAUAGCCAUUUGAAAAGCUCCUGAAAAAAAUUAGUCAGAUCCUUGUCAUGAUUUAAGGCCAGGGUAGGGUCUGCAAUGUACCACAGGAUGACACAGCUGGGAGGGAGUCAGGUGGCCGGCCAUUCCUGAAAUCUCAGGUUUGACUUAAGAAGAAUUGGUGGGACUUUAUGGGAAAAUGAUGCUUACGGGAGAACAGAACUGGAAUGGUGUUGGUAUUCAUAAGGAACUGGUCAAAGAUGAUCUGAGAGAGGUGUGGUGUAAAACCGUGCUUCUCAUGCUUCUCAUACUCGUUCUACAUGGAGAGAAGCAGGGAACUAGAAGACCAAUGGGACUGAAGGUACCCAGCAUUGAGCCCUGGCUUUCACCUUGCAAAAAGAGAACCUUCUAAUAUCAGGUCUAUUUAAGGACAAAAUUAGCAAUUGACAGAGUAGGAAAACUGUGGAAGGCCUUCAGCAUUGGAAAGUUGUUCUAGAUGACCCUGAAGGCCCAUUAUACCACUCUGCUGAUUUUACCUUGAUAUCUUCAGCUGUGGCCAGCCUGUAGCACAGAGCCCACCACCUCCCUCCUGUACAUGGGCCUCCUUUCCCCCUUCUCACCUCCUACCAGGAAGACACAGUAAAUCAGCUUUCACAGCCCUCACACAGCCUUUACACUGAUGACAAUUUCUCGCUAGUAUCUGUGGGCUUAAAAAAGUUUCAACGGCUGUUUUAUGCAUUUCCCCCUACGUUGUUUUUCUCAGUUUAUGCCAAUCCCCUUCCACCAUUCAUUAACAUAUAUAUACCUAUAUGAUAUAUAGUAUAAAUUCUAUACUUUAGAAAUUGAAUACAAUUCGAAUUUUGUGUAUCUUCACUAUGUUGUUUUUUAACUAUUAAUAUUUUAAAAACUUUUUUUUUUUUAAGGUUUAUUCAUUUUUCAGAGACAGAGAGAGACAGAGAGUGAGUGGGGUAGGGGCAGAGAGAGAGGGAGACACAGAAUCUGAAACAGGCUCCAGGCUCUGAGCUGUCCACACAGAGUCCGACACAGGGCCCGAACUCAUGGACGGUGAGAUCAUGACCUGAGUGGAAGUCAGACGCUUAACAGACUGAGCCACCCAGGAGCCCCAAUAUUUUAAACACUUUUUAUGUGCUUUCUUAGAAUCCCACAAUAAGAAAAAAUUAAAUUUUCUUUUUUUAAAUUUUUUUUUUCAACGUUUAUUUAUUUUUGGGACGGAGAGAGACAGAGCAUGAACAGGGGAGGGGCAGAGAGAGAGGGAGACACAGAAUCGGAAACAGGCUCCAGGCUCUGAGCCAUCAGCCCAGAGCCUGACACGGGGCUCGAACUCACGGACCGCGAGAUCGUGACCUGGCUGAAGUCGGACGCUUAACCCACUGCGCCACCCAGGCGCCCCAGAAAAAAUUAAAUUUUCUAAUGUUUCAAUAAAACUCUACCAAUAUCUUUUUAGAAAGUGUACGGGAUAAGUAUUUUUUCCUUAAAAGAAAAAGUCAAUUUCUAAUAGCUUCAAAUCAAGGCCAUGAAGCCCCCUAGUAAUUACUUUAUAAAUAAUUCAGUGUGUUUUUUAUAAUGAAGGAGUUAAAUUUUCGGAGAGUAAAAGGUUCACAUCACUAAUAGGCUGAUAACAGGUUGACAGGAUCAAACCACCUUGCCCUACUUUUGCAUUUAUUAGGAAUCACAGGAGCCACACCUGGAGCAAAACUCUGCCUAGGACACUGAAAAAUCUGAACACUACAAUCUUCAGCUCAGACAGGUAAUAAAUGUGGCCAAAUGUGGGCCUUUAAAUCCUGGCCACUUUACAUCAAUCCAAACCAUUCAUGUGCCAAGAGGGGAACUAGCUGGACCACUGCGGAGCUCCUUCAUGAUGGAAAGAUAAAUGGGGACUUCCAAGAGCCCCACACCUGAAGAGCAGACAAAGGGGUCUGUCCGUGACAAAUCAAAGUGCUCAAUUAUUCACUGCACCAAGUCCAGCCAACUACUGUUACUAUGCUUUCAACACCUAUCUUCCAGAACAGUUCAAAAAAACUUUUCUACCUAAAAAUUACAUAUUUAUAGUAUUAGAAGUCAUCAUAAUAAUACGUUAUACUUCAUAUUUUGGAUUUACAAAGUUAAAAACGCCAUUUAAAGAAACAAUAAUAAACACUUCUUUUUCAGAAAUUUAAUUUCAAUUUAGUGAAGUGCAUUUUGAUUGUAAGACUUGUAGUUUAAAACUGAAAAUAGAAUCUUCACGUAGAACAAAGCACAGAGAAUAGUGAGGCUAAAUAUGCCUUUUAUGUUUUGAUUUCUUGACUUAAGGUCCUAUUCUAACUAUAAUCAUUAAUUCACUUAAUCCUCAAAACAACUCUGCGGAGUAGGAACCAUAAUAAUGCACAUUUACAGAUAAGGCGACUGAGGCUUGGUGGGGAGACUGCCUGCGGUAACACACCUAAGGAACUAGUACACUGGACACCAGGGCUCAGACUCGAGUGGGCCGGCUGCCAUAGUACACUAAUGUUCAAUGCUUCUUGGCUACAUGUGGGUGGCUACAGAAGCAGGCGGGCUAAUAGUAAACCUGGCAAUUGCUGCAGUACUUUUUUUAAAAAUGGGAUUCAAUGAAAAAGUCUCCUGUUAAGUCUUCUGAAGAUCAGGGGGCUCAGAGGUAAAACACAUUACGAUUACCUUUUGUCAGCUUUAACUUGUGAUUUUCUUUUUCAAGUGCCAUGCACCAUGGACUGCUAAAGUGACUCAGCAGGGUUUAACUUCAUUUUAAUUAGCAUUAUGAGCCUGAACUACAAUUAAAUAAUUGCACUGGUAGUUUAUAAGGGUCAUAGUAUUACAUAUCCUUGAGUUCAUUUAAUGACUUCUACGUAACAAGUAAAUAUUAACAAACAGAAACCAGGUACAUAUUUUGUUGGGUGAUUUUUUUUCUCCACUCUUUGGCUGAUUGGUUAAGUAUUUUACAACCGAGCUUUGCUUUAUUUAGUAUUCUCCAAAUAAUAUACUGGAGUACAUGUUAUACUAAGUUUCCAAAAUUUCAUAAUUCAUUUAACCAAACAGCUACAUGGAACCCUAAAUUCUAAUUUCUCCUCUAUUAUUUCAAAUCCCCUGAACUGGGUGGGAUAAAGCAAAGUGUAUUGGGGGUGGAGAGGAGUAUGCAGUGGCUUUAACUACUUCUUUCAUAAACAUAACAGGAUCUGAGCAACUACCACUAGCUAGCUUUGGGGAUUCUGUAACUCUAGUACCUGUUUGGAAUGCUCCCUAAACAUCCUGCAGUCAGAAGUCACUGGCCUAGUACCAAACACCAAAAAGAUGAAAUUCUUCAGAAUGCAUUAAAAAGGUGGGGGGGAAGCAUCAUCAGUUAUUCGUAUAUUAAAAUUGGACUCUACUAUUUCUAAAACAAAGAGAAGCAAACCCGAAGGGUUCUCAUGGCUAUUUCUAGAUAUUGGAAUUCUAUGAAAUACAAAUUUGUGUUCACUAAUGAAACCGCACAAUAUCAGAGCUGAAAGGGACUUAGAAAUCAGAGUGCAACCCCAUCAAUUUAAAGAUCUAUAAAACUAAGUCCACAAGAGCUUAAGUUUAAAACUAAAAUGUUCUUACUCUCUGAGGUGGUAUAAAGUUUGGGUCCCUUUUGAGCAAAUAAUUAUUGGUGUUGUUUCAUUACUUUUUUUUUUUGUACUAAAUUACAAACAUCUGAUUGCUUUGAAGUUGUAUUAUUAAGACAAAUGGGUAAACUGCUCUUUUUAAAAUUCAAAAUUGCCACAUUUAUUUACAAUAAGAUACAGAAUGACCUCUUGGUUUCUUUCUUCUCCUCCACUUUCAGCCUCUGAAAUGAACUAGAUCAAUAUAGGAAAAGCUUCUAAAAGGCAAUUUUAUUCUAUUAUCCUAAUGAGAGAAGUCACUGAAGAAUGGAGAAGGCAAAAAAUGAUCUAUUUUGAGGGCAAUUUACAAUUCUCCAGGUUCCUUACUAUUUUAAAGAAUAAAAUAUCUCAAGGGAAAAAAAAAUACAUACCAACAAGAGGCCUUAUGGCCACAAAAUGUAGGAGAGCAAAAUCAUGCAUUGAGAGUUUCAACUGAAAAUCAGUAAAGAUAAAAAUCUGAAAAGUUGAAUGAAGGAUUCUCUGGUUAUUGGAACUUUUGCCCAAACACAACAUUAGAGUGCUCAAGGACACCGAGAAUUCCUGCAAGGCAUUACUUGGAGCAGACAGUGGGCAAUCAGAAGGGUGGAAAUCAGGGUCCAUUACUCAGGCAUGGUAGCCUGUAUUAUCCUCUUACAGAUGCAGCAUUGGCAGGAGUUGAUGAAGAAAAAUGAAGGCUGAGGAAGAGAGGGAAUGGUGUGUCUUUUACAUGUAAUUUUCAGCAAACUCAGAUGAGUUUCAACCCUGGAUGGGUUUUCCCCCCUUUCCUCCCUUCCUUCCAUUUUAUUCAGAAAAAUCAUCUUGCUUAGGCUGUUCAAGUGUGACGCUGCAACUAGCCUAAUGUUGCCGCAAACUGCGGCCCUCGACGUCCCUUUCAGCAAAUACCAGAUUAAAUACCCUCUAGUUACGUGGUUCAAGGUAGCUUCAUGCUGAUUCCAAGAACAAGAACCUGUCAAGCUGACAAAUCAGUGUCUAUUUUCUGUCAGAUAUUGUCUCCCGUUAGAAGGGUUUCUUAUUUCUUAAAACUUGCUUCUCCAUUCUGGCAGCCUCCUGUCAGUCUACCGAAGGUCCUGGCUCCGAAAGCUUAUAAAUUCUUAUUUUCCACUCUCCAGUUUCUCUAUAGAUUAUACUGCUGACCUCUUCUAGUGAUCUGACAGGAAGUUAUCUGAAAGCCAUUUGUAGUGACCCUACCACAGAAUUAGGACUGCAUUUCUACAAGAGCCAACUGUACUUUCUAAAAUAGCUAAUUCAGUUGUCUCUGUUUUAAAACAACUCAUAAAAAAGGAUUGUCAUUACUACAGAGCUGCUUUUUUUUUUUCCUUUGUCCACAGACAGAAAAAAAGAUGAAAGGCAGGAAGUGGCCUAACUAUCAACAAGCAGUUCUCCUUUGAAGACAGAUAACAAAAUUCUGCAGUUAAAAGUAUAUUUGUACUUGCAAAGUUAUUCUUCUUGAACAAAUUCCAAAUACAGUAUCUGUCUUUGAUCUCAGAAAAGCAUUUUUCUCACUGUUCACAGCAGACAUUAAUAGUUCAGUUAGGCACCCCACUCCCAACUAUGGGGAAAAAAAUGUUCCCUAAAAUUCAAUCAUGAAUUAUUAGCUUUAUUUGUCAGCCUAGAAGUAGCUGCUUAGGCUCUGCCACCGCUGCUGCCGGCUAUGACGAGGUAAGAACUUCUCAGCCACAGCACCCAUCUGACCCCCUGGCAGAGCCUCUCAAUUCCGACUGUGUGAUGUCACACAGUCCUGGAGAGUCAUUCAGCAGCUCCUGAAACAGGAACUGUUCUAUUAUCUCACUGAAAGUAUACUGCAACUGUAAGAGAUAUUUUUGAGGACCUUAAACCUAAACAGAGUUGAAGUUUCAUAUUUUAAAAUAGAGAUCUACUCUUGACCUUUCACCAUUUCCUAUUACAACAAAAAUCUAAUAAUAAUACGUAGCUCUGAUAAUGAAACAAGCCUAUUUUUAAGACAUUAAAAAUAUCCCUAGUGUCUACUAUGUUCCAUUUUAAACAAAUAGGGAAGAUGAACAGCACAGCAUUGUAUCGUUUAUUCAAAAAAUAUUUUCCUUAAUUUCCACAGCUAUUGCUUGUGGGUCUUUUAAUACAAAAAGAAAACAAGAAACACGGACAUGACAAAAUUAUGGGGGAAGCUCUGGUCUUCAAUAACGAACAGUCCUUAAAGCUCAAUAGGUAAAGACUAACAGUAGUGUCUAACUGAAUCCUAAGGAAGAUUUGUAAUCCUAGGUGAAAAGCCCCCUUUACCGUAUUAGAAUUUUCCUGGGCAAUAAGGAAAAGAAAAUCCUCCAUGGAAAAGAACUAUGCUUUUAAAGUUAACACAUGUAUGUGUGUGCACACACAUGCACAUACCCAGACUCUCUUUAAGUUCAGAGCUGACAGACUGAUAGGUAUUAGAAAACUGGAUCUGCACUUGGACAGUACAGUAUUUCAUGCUCUCGGAAAAUACAGUUUUGUUUGAACAUGUCCCCAAAAGCCAAAUCUAACUUCUGAAGCUGAUCCAUAGAGCCAGCACUUAGUAUAUUCUUGGCUGGUCGACUGCUAGCUUAGCUUCAAAAAGGAGCAUGAACCACCUGGGCAUGUGAACACGUGGACACUCACAGCAUCUGCAGUGAUGUCCUAGGAAGCAGAAGGAAAGAAUGAUAACCCAAAGUGUCACGCUGUCAGCAUCAGGCAAAUGUUGGCAUAAAUAAAUCCUUAUAAAUACUCUGAAGAUUUUCCACUCUAACAAAAGAGCUAUUUUCUUUUCCCUGAAAGAGGAAACCUUAUCAAAUGGCAGUGAUUUUACAGACAUAUAGGGAACACAUAAAGAAGUAUACAUUCAUAAAAUGUACAACUCCACAGGAUACCAAACCCUGAAUCGUGCUAUUUUUGUGAAAUACAUAUGAAACACUACAAUAUGAAGGAAACUGGGUGCCUGGGAGGCUUGACGGGUUGACCGUCUGACUUCAGCUCAGGUCAUGAUCUCACUGUUCAUGGGGGUUCAAACCCCAUGUCGGGCUUUGCACUGACAGCACAGAGCCUGCUUUGAAUUUUGUCUCUGUCUCUGCCCUCCUGACUCAUUCUCACUCUCUCCCUCUCAAAAAUAAACAGUAAAAAAAAUUUUUUUAAUAGGAAGGAAACACUAACAAGAAAGGACAUUGGGAAUUAAGAUCAUAAAAUCAAUGAGUGAAAAAACAUUUUCCUUAAAUACACCCAGAGUAAGAUUUAUACUCCACAAUUCUAAUUUAGAAGAAAACAAAACUGUGAAACUGUAUCCAUGCCUAGAAAAAAUAUUGGAAGAAUAAGGAGCAAAAUGUUCACAAUGGAUAUGAAGCUGUAUAUGCAUUGAGGGGGAUUUUUAUUUUGACAUUGUGUUUUUCAGUGUUUUUGACAUGUUAAUUUUAUAAACAAAAAAGAAAGCCAGUAUGAGUUAUUUUAAAAUCAAAUAUGUUAAGUGUAAUUUAAUAGAGAACAAAGUGGCAGGCUUCUGAGGUACCCAAUCAAUACACUGCAGUGGAAAGCCAUUUUCUCUUUCUCAUCCUGUCUGUGACCAUGUGACAUUUUUUCACACUUGCUCAAAAUUAACUGCUUCACUACAUAAUAACUGCAACUAUAGCAAAUGGGCCUUUUUGGUCUGUAAUUCAAUUACUGUAGAAGGUUUUAUAGUUUGAGUAUUAAGAAGUGAAGCAUAUACUUGACUACAUACACAGAAACAAAGCAGACUCUCCACAUAUCAUAUCCAAAUUAAAAGUGAAUCUACAAAUUCCAUUCUCUGUUUAUACCAGUUAUCCUGACUCAUUAGUCAAUGUUCUGGGUCUAGUGAGACAGUAGAAACAUUGCUCUGUCUCAUUUGCAGGUAACUUACGUGAUUUCCAUAUUGUGAUCAAAGGCUAAAAGUUGAUUUGCUAGAGUGCACUCCUUGGCCCCCGUAAUAUUUUAUUCAUAUAGCUACUAUGACAUUUUCACCUUGGACUGAAAUUUUUAUGUUUGCAGGUUUGUCUUUCACACUUGAUUCGCAUGUUUACUACUAAGAAUGCAUUCAAUAAGUGAUAAAUACAUGAAUGAACUGUUCUAGAAAUAACUAACCUUGGAGACAAAUAUCUGAGAAAUCACAGGGAAUGAUCUGUAAUCUAUCAAGAAUGCAAAACACUGAAAGAAAACCAGUAAGUGUUCCUUCCUUAAGAAAGACUGCUAACACCUGAAAUCAUUUCCUUCCUUCAACUCUAUUCCAAUCCACCCAUGUUCCUAACAUCUUCAUGAAUUUAUUCAACAUCUGCCUUAAAAAAAAAACCCUCAGGGCGCCUGGGUGGCCCAUUCAGUUGAGCGUCCGACUUCGGCUCAGGUCAUGGUCUCGCAGUGUGUGACUUGGAGCCCUGCGUCAGGCUCUGUGCUGACAGCUCGGGGCCUGGAGCCUGCUUUUGGAUUCUGUGUCUCCCUCUCCCUCUUGCCCUCUCUUACUUGUACUAUGUCUCUGUCUGUCUCUCAAGAAAAAACUAAAAAAAUAAAUAAAUAAAUAAAAAAUAAAAGAAAAACUCAUAGCCCUUUCACGAAGAUGGCACCAAAGGCAAAGAAGGAAGCCCCUGCCCCUCCCAAAGCCGAAGCCAAAGCAAAGGCUUUGAAGGCCAAGAAAGCAGUGCUGAAAGGCGUCCACAAUCAUAACAAAAAAAAAAAAAAAGAUCUGCACGUCACCCACAUUCCGACAGCCCCAAACACUGUGUCUCCGAAGGCAGUCCAAAUAUCCUCAAAAGAGCAUCCCCAGGAGAAACAAGCUUGACCAAUAUGCCAUCAUCAAGUUCCCCCUGACUACCAAGUCAGCCAUGAAGAAAAUACAAGACAACAACACACUUGUGUUCAUUGUGGAUGUCAAAGCCAACAAGCACCAGAUCAAACAGGCUGUAAAGAAGCUCUAAGAUAUUGACAUGGCCAAGGUCAACACUCUCAUCAGGCCCAAUGGAGAAAAGAAAGCAUACGUUCAACUGGCUCCCAACUAUGAUGCUUUGGAUGUUGCCAACAAAAUUGGGAUAAUCUAAACUGAGUCCAGCUGGCUAAAUCUAAACAUAUAUUUUUUUUCACCAUAAAAAAAAUAA